rnacentral:tRNA from 2 species
GCCGGGAUAGGGUAGUCUGGCCUAUCCUGGGGGACUGUGGAUCCCUCGACCCGGGUUCAAAGGACAGCGGGGACCACCCCCGCCGUCGGAGACUCUCGGUCCCGGCC